GGAGAUUUGGCUUAGUGUUAGAGCACUUGCCUCGCAUACAUGAGUUCCUGGAUUCAAUCUCUAGAAUCACAA
rnacentral:tRNA from 1 species